GACUGCUUUUCCCACCUAGUGCCCACUCCUGGCCUAUAGUUAACAUCCGUCUUCUUUUUGGAGGACCCACCCACCCUUUGCCCACAUAGCCAUGGUUGCAGUUCGGGUGGGACCUCAGUGCCUCUGAAGUCUGGGAUUUCACUGUAGGCUGGUGACUGACAUUUAGCCUGGGGACCUAUUCUACCCUCCUGGCUACUGAGUUGGCAGCACGUGACCAGGCUGGACCAAUAGAAAUCAGUUUCAGGACUUCCUCUGCAACUUGAGAAAGAGAUUCUGUAUUCACUGGAAUUGUUGAGGAGAGAGACGAUAUAGUUAAAACUACGGAUGGCCACCUGGCCAUCCUGAGAGAAAGGCCCCAUCUGAGGACAAACCUAACGUAGAGAAGUGGGGUCAAGAGAUGCAGUCUGGAUUGGGGUCCUAAUGCAUCAUUUGGGCAUCCAGCUGAGUGAUUGAUGGUAACUCAUAAUUUCGUUUAUUUAAGCUUAUUUGAGAUCCCAUCACUUUCCACUGGAAAACUCUGGCCUUCAGAACAUUCCCGGCUCUCAUGGACUCCAGGCAAAGAUGCCUACAAAGGAAACAUAAUUCACUGAUUCGGUGACCAGCUGGUGAUAAGGAUUUUAAUCAUUGUUUGACUCAAAAACUUUAAAGUAACUGACCUGCUAUUGCACAGUUGUUAAAUGGAUUCAAAUUCCUCUCUGUCUCAUUCCAGGGACAGAGUUCGUAACCAUUAGACAGGGCUGCCCCUUGAGCUCAGAUUCUGCGUGUACAAUGGUUCCUGCUUUCUCCUGGGUGCAGUUCCUGUGUCAUUACCUGUCCAUCCGUGGUGGAGUCUCACUAUUCCCACCGUCUCUGAUGGAAGGUCAUGCAGAGGAGCCAAGACCAGGAGUCCCUCCUACAGAGGACACUAACCAUAGUCUUUCUCCUCCACCAAAGCCUGCCAACAUUCCUUGAUCUCCUUCAUUGCAUCUGCUGAGCAACAUGGCCCCAAGAGGAACCAGAUAGGAUGCGUGUGAGCCCCGGCCCCGUGCAUGGUUUGGUCACCAAGUUUAUUUUUCAUCCACUUUUUCCGAGUUGGCAGAUGUGUGUCUGUUACUUCAAGACUGUGCCUCGCGCUGAUAUUUUGAUUCAAAACCCAGCCGUGAAGACUGCUGCAGCUGAGCCCAGCUAAGCGUCCCUGCAAGUCGUCCCUUCAUGUGCUUUAUGACUCUUUUGAAGAUUGUUUUCUCUUAAGUUUAGGGGAUUUAAGGGGCAGUAACAAUACAGUAUGUAGUUUUCCAUUGUCCCAGAAUUUCUUCCUCCCACCCACCCUGACCAUCGGACGCUUUGAACUUCCUCAGAAACAAGAACAAUUAAGUGCUUUUCCACAUUUCUCCUGUCUUAGCAAUGCACCCCAAUCAGCACGCAGCUCACUGUGAGUCACAGGAGGAGGCACCACACUCCACAUUCAUUGCUUUAAAAAAUGACAUUAAUUGUAAUGAAAGUUUCUGGUGAAAUAAAAUGAUCAUGAUGCAUUCUGAGCUUAAGCUCUGCCAACUACCUGUCAAGGCCUAAAAGAAACCAUCUCACCCCCAAAAGAAAUCUGUUAGCGAGUCUAACAAUAAUCGUUCAAGAGAGUCCCCAGUUUUUCUCUGUUUUCUGUUCUGGACAUUGGCUGUUGUUGGCUCCUGGAUGUCCUGUCCCUGCAUGUCUGGUGAUGAGCCACCUCUUUCCCUAGGGAGCUACCCCUUCCCAUCCUUUAUCCACAAGGUUUCGGUGGGGCUCCAGGGUCAGACUUGUGAAUCUGGACUAAUCAAUCAGAACAUCAUAUCGCCUUUGAGAUAAGCAAAAUAAUGGUCCCCCAAAAGUGUCUGCAUCUUAAUUCUUAGAAUCUGUGAGAGUGUCACCUAAUAUGGCAGAGGGGACUUUGCAGCUGUG
rnacentral:lncRNA from 1 species